CAGGACUCUGAGAUCAUGACCUGAGCCGAAGGCAGAGGCUUAACCCACUGAGCCACCCAGGCGCCCCUAUACAGUAAUCUUGAACAUCAGGGCCCUGUUAGGAGCUUUCUUGGAUCCCUUCAAUGAGAAUCUGGUGGAAUUUCUAGAGGAAGAGCCUGCAAAAGUAUGGAAGUUCUCUUAUGACUACAGUCCCCAGGAACUCCAGCAAAUCAUCAAAAUUACUAUGUGAGUGUUCCUACCAACUUAGAGCAUCCAGUGCCUUCUGCUUCAGAGGUCCCAGGAAAGCAGCCCUAGAGUGACGCUCUGACGACAACCUGCCAACAGCUUGAACUACCACUUGCUCCCUUGGGCACCUGGACUGGUGCCUUGGAUGUGUUCAUAGCUCUGCAGCUUAUUUUACAGCUAUGGAUGCACUGACAUUUGAAUGCUAAAAUUUAGUCUGCUUUUCCUAACUCUGUGACCAUAAUCAUGUGACUGCAUUAGCUCUUUGCCACAUCCAUGAAUACAGAAAGAUGAAGGUGAUGACGGAUUUCACAGCCUUUCUUUUGAUCUGGAUAAUAACAAGAUAUUUCCACAGAGCUCUAACCCUGUCCCUUUAAGUAAAACAUAUGGAGAAUGUCACCUGAAAUAUGAACAAAGGAGAAGUACUUUGAUCUGUACAUGUUCCGUAUUUCCUGGGGUCAUGUUAAUUAACAUUAGUCAGAAUGCCAGAGUGUAAUACCAAUAAUGAUCAUUGUCUAAAUGCUGCAGGAAGAACAUUUGUCAAGAAAAAAAAAAAAAAAACACUUGAUUUCCAGGUACUGGUUGAAACUACAUAAUAAUAAUUAUGCAGAAUGCUGUGUGAUAUGAGGUCCCACAGAGGGAGGAAUGAGGGUAUGAUGAAGUUACUGUGACCAGGCAUCCUGAGAAAGUGAUACCAGCUAUAUGUAAGAGAAAAUACUGUUUGGAUAAGACCCAAACAUAAUUGGUUUAAGAGUCUACAUGGAAAUUUUGUGUUUGAAAUUUUGUUCUAUUUUAGGGAAGCAAAAUACUGUACAGGUAUUUUAUAAUAUAUUUGCCAUAUAUUUGUAUACAACAUUUUGCUACAUGCUUUGAAAGCAUAGAUUUAGGGUUCCAAUUUGGAUUUCAUUCCUGUCCCUAUCAUUGUUGGCUAUAUAACCUUGGGCAAGGCAUUUAAUAUUCCUGAGCCUCAACUACUUGUGAAAUGGAGAAUAAUAGCAAUACCCGCCUCAUAUGGUUAUUAUGAAGAUUAAAUUAGGUAACAUUUAUAAAGUUCUUAGAACAGUGUUUGUACACAGUAUGCACCUAGAAUCUUAAGUAUUUACACCUCCAGCAUCACCACCUUAUUAAUCAAUUAAUUAUUUGUUUAUUUAUAACACAAACCAUUCUAAGAAGUUAAGAGCACAAAACAAUCCUGUUUCAUUCUUCUCUAUAUGUCUGCAUUGGGGGCUGAAUAUUGUUAAACAUAAUGCAUCACAUCAUCAUAUCUAAUGUCCACGUUUAACUUUUAUAACCUCCUCUAAGUUAUGCGUUCUCCACUAAUGCAUAAUGCCUUAAUAAAAAGGAAGUUACUUUUUUUA